rnacentral:rRNA from 1 species
GAUGAACGCUGGCGGCGUGCCUAAUACAUGCAAGUCGAACGAACAGACGAGGAGCUUGCUCCUCUGACGUUAGCGGCGGACGGGUGAGUCACACGUGUAUAAUCCACUUAUAAUACUGAGAUAACUUCGGGACACCGGCGAUAAUAGCAGAUAAUCUAUUGCACCGUGUGGUUGAUUAGUGAAUGUCGGCUUUGCUGUCUCGUCUCGAUGGUUACGCGCCGGAUUAGCUAGUUGUGAAGGUCACAGCUUACCCAGGCAACGAUGCGUAGACGACCGGAGAGGGGGAUCGGCCACACGGGAACUGAGACACGGUCCAUACUCCUACGGGAGGCAGCAGUAGGGAAUCUUACGCAAUGGGCGAAAGCCUGACGGAGCAACGCCGCGUGAGUGAUGACGGUCUUCGGAUCGUAAAACUCUGUUAUUAGUGAAGAACAAAUGUGUAAGUAACUAUGCACGUCUUGACGGUACCUAAUCAGAAAGCCACGGCUAACUACGUG